CAGUUCCCGUACGAUCACCGAGGUUGAGCAACGUUGAGCCUGCUCAGUACCUAGAUGGGUGACCGCUUGGGAAUACCAGGUACUGUAAG